GCCCGAAUGGUGGAAUGGUAGACACUACGGACUUAAAAUCCGUUGCUUUAUUAAGCGUGUGGGUUCGAAUCCCACUUCGGGCACCA
rnacentral:tRNA from 1 species